CACAGGUUUGGUCCUGGCCUUUCUAUUAAUUCUUAAUAAAAUUACACAUGCAAGUAUCCGCGCCCCGGUGAGAAUGCCCUCCAGAUCCUAAAGAUCAAAAGGAGCAGGUAUCAAGCACACCUAUAACGGUAGCUCAUAACGCCUUGCUCAACCACACCCCCACGGGAAACAGCAGUGAUAAAAAUUAAGCCAUGAACGAAAGUUUGACUAAGUUAUAUUAAUUAGAGUUGGUAAAUCUCGUGCCAGCCACCGCGGUCAUACGAUUAACCCAAAUUAAUAGAUCCACGGCGUAAAGAGUGUUUAAGAAAAAAAAACCACAAUAGAGUUAAAUUAUAACUAAGCUGUAAAAAGCCCUAGUUAAAAUAAAAUAACCCACGAAAGUGACUCUAAUAAUCCUGACACACGAUAGCUAGGACCCAAACUGGGAUUAGAUACCCCACUAUGCCUAGCCCUAAACCCAAAUAGUUACAUAACAAAACUAUUCGCCAGAGUACUACUCGCAACUGCCUAAAACUCAAAGGACUUGGCGGUGCUUCACAUCCACCUAGAGGAGCCUGUUCUAUAAUCGAUAAACCCCGAUAGACCUUACCAACCCUUGCCAAUUCAGCCUAUAUACCGCCAUCUUCAGCAAACCCUAAAAAGGAACAAUAGUAAGCACAAUCAUAACACAUAAAAACGUUAGGUCAAGGUGUAGCUUAUGGGUUGGAAAGAAAUGGGCUACAUUUUCUACAUAAGAAUACUCACCAUACGAAAGUUUUUAUGAAACUAAAAACCAAAGGAGGAUUUAGCAGUAAAUCAAGAAUAGAGUGCUUGAUUGAAUAAGGCCAUGAAGCACGCACACACCGCCCGUCACCCUCCUCAAGCAUGUAGUAAUAAAAAUAACCUAUAUUCAAUUACACAACCAUGCAAGAAGAGACAAGUCGUAACAAGGUAAGCAUACUGGAAAGUGUGCUUGGAUUAC
rnacentral:ncRNA from 1 species